GUGUAUGGAGAAUAGUAAUCCAAUAUGGACCCCACCUUAUAUUCAUGAAUCACCAACCUUUCAUUACCCGGAGGCCUAUCCUAGUGGAGCAGUGAGUCAGCUGGAAGAGGUAUUGGACAUAAUAAACACUGAUGUCAGCCUAUCCAGUUUUUCUACUUUUUCUCAUCUUCCAAUGGAUGAAGAUCCUAGCUGGGGCAACUGAGUCUUGCAAGCUUCAGUCUUAACACUUAUGACAAAAACCUUCUUUUACCAUGUAUAUUCUGGGUGAAAACAGCAGCUCUGGACCAAUCAUUUGUCAAGCAAAUCGCAACUGAAAAAAACAAACCAGUUACUGGCUAAUUUAUACAGGAUUUGUGGAGGCUUCAAUACAAGUAUCCAUUGUAAAUGACACCAUGGACACCAGACAGAAUGAUGUAUCAUGUAUGGCAGUGUAAAUAAUGACACAGCAUGAUAAACUAAAAAUAAACGUCCACUAUCAGGAUCUUCAGCAUUACGUUCUGUGAAGUGAUUCAUGCAGCAAGUGGUUGGCUUUAGGAAUGCGUGAGAAUGAAUUCUGAGCCCACACAGCUCAGCCUCCUACCUGCUUCGAGGCUUUCUGGCAUGCGGUGGGUUUUACGGAUUCUGGGGCUGUGUGUAGGCAUCGCUACCGUGGCAGUCAGAUGUGAUCUUUUCUAGGCCAUGUGUGGGAGGGCCAUCAAACCACAGAAUUCUUCAGCCCUUGGGAGCAUGUUUGUCACAACCUCUGAUAUUACAAGAUCACAAAAUGAAAUGAACUGCUCCAUGAAUGUAUUGUUGGAGGGAUGAUCAUACAGCAAUAUACUUGUGAAUAAGUUGGCUAAUAACCAAGCUAGACUGAGUAGGACAUAUCACAAGUAAAUAUCAGUACUCUACCAUUAACAGAAAACCAGCAUGUAUCGAUAAAGGAAAAUGUACAUAUCAUUUAUAAACGUUUUUUGUGCCAA